rnacentral:rRNA from 1 species
AAGUCGUAACAAGGUUUCCGUAGGUGAACCUGCGGAAGGAUCAUUAUCGAAAAUACAGGGCUGUUGCUGGUCCUCAGGACAUGUGCACGCCUGUUGUUUUUAUUUUUCCAACUGUGCACUUGUUGUAGACCUGGAGUCUUUUUAUUGUUGGAAUAGAUUUAGGACUGCCAUGUGGCUUUGCCUUGCAUUUCCAGGUCUAUGUUGUAAUAUUUUUCACACAAAUGAAUGUUGAGUACUGGGGAACAUGAAAUAAUACAACUUUCAGCAACGGAUCUCUUGGCUCUCGCAUCGAUGAAGAACGCAGCGAAAUGCGAUAAGUAAUGUGAAUUGCAGAAUUCAGUGAAUCAUCGAAUCUUUGAACGCAUCUUGCGCUCCUUGGUAUUCUGAGGAGCAUGCCUGUUUGAGUGUCAUGAAAAGUUCUCAACUACACCGGUUUUCUUUGUCGGUGUAGCUUGGAUUUGAGGGUUUUUGCAGGCUUUGAACAGAAGCCGGCUCCCUUGAAAAGGAUGGGUGGUAUAUCUGCUCACCAUGGGUGUGAUAAUUGUGUCUAUGCCUUGGUGUAUGCAGGAGCCAACAGAGUAGUUUUUUUUGACGAAUUUGACCUCAAAUCAGGUAGGACUACCCGCUGAACUUAAGCAUAUCAAUAAGCGGAGGAAAAGAAACUAACGAGGAUUCCCCUAGUAACUGCGAGUGAAGCGGGAAAAGCUCAAAUUUGAAAUCUGGCGGCUUUUAGCCGUCUGAGUUGUAAUCUAGAGAAGUGCUACCUGUGCUGGACCGUGUAAAAGUCUCCUGGAAUGGAGCAUCAUAGAGGGUGAGAAUCCCGUCUUUGACGUGGACUGCCUGUACGUUCAAGGUGCGCUCUCGAAGAGUCGAGUUGUUUGGGAAUGCAGCUCAAAAUGGGUGGUAAAUGCCAUCUAAAGCUAAAUAUUGGCGAGAGACCGAUAGCGAACAAGUACCGUGAGGGAAAGAUGAAAAGAACUUUGGAAAGAGAGUUAAACAGUACGUGAAAUUGCUGAAAGGGAAACGCUUGAAGUCAGUCGCGUUGACUAGAAAUCAGCCUUGCUUUUGCUUGGUGUACUUUCUUGUCGACGGGUCAGCAUCAGUUUUGACCAUUGGAUAAGGAUUUUGGGAAUGUGGCAUCUUUGGAUGUGUUAUAGCCCAUUGUCGCAUACGAUGGUUGGGAUUGAGGAACUCAGCACGCCCGCAAGGGCAGGGUCUUCUGACCACAACUCGUGCUUAGGAUGCUGGCAUAAUGGCUUUAAUCGACC